GUUUACAACCCAAUUUUAAAUGAGGUGAGAAUUCUUAUACAUGAGGCAGAUAUUGGUUUCAGAUUUUACAUGGAUAGAAAUAUUAUGUCGAACAUGCGAGACUAUCCAAUUGAUUUAUCUAUUGCCUGAGUGAUAAUUCCAAUUUCAAUGUCUCAUUCAAGUGCACCUAUCAACAUAUGAUGAACACUAGUUGAUUAACGAUUUCGAUCUGCUUUAAGAAUUUGGGGUUGUCGUUUUUAAAUGCUGAGUGAAACUGAACCUAAUUGUCACAAGGAAAUUUUUAAGCAUGUCUUUCAUAUUACUUCUUGCCCAUAACUUGGACAUGGUUGGAUGCUAGAGUCACUAUAUGAUUGACAUGUCAAAGUUGUUUCAAUUUUAAAUUAUGUCAUAAUAUUUGUUACUUCGCAAGAAAAGUUAACAUUUUGGACUUUUUUCAUGUAGCUUUUUACUGGCGUCCUUGGAA
rnacentral:misc_RNA from 1 species